rnacentral:rRNA from 1 species
AUUGAACGCUGGCGGCAUGCCUUACACAUGCAAGUCGAACGGCAGCACGGGAGCAAUCCUGGUGGCGAGUGGCGAACGGGUGAGUAAAGUAUCGGAACGUGCCCAGUCGUGGGGGAUAACGUAGCGAAAGUUACGCUAAUACCGCAUACGAUCUAUGGAUGAAAGCGGGGAUCGCAAGACCUCGCGCGAUUGGAGCGGCCGAUAUCAGAUUAGGUAGUUGGUGGGGUAAAGGCCCACCAAGCCGACGAUCUGUAGCUGGUCUGAGAGGACGACCAGCCACACUGGGACUGGGACACGGCCCAGACUCCUACGGGAGGCAGCAGUGGGGAAUUUUGGACAAUGGGCGAAAGCCUGAUCCAGCCAUGCCGCGUGCAGGAUGAAGGCCUUCGGGUUGUAAACUGCUUUUGUACGGAACGAAAAGGACUGCCCUAAUACGGUGGUCCCAUGACGGUACCGUAAGAAUAAGCACCGGCUAACUACGUGCCAGCCGCCGCCGUAAGAC